GGGGGGGGGGGGGGGGGGGGGGGGGGGGGGGGGGGGGAGGGGGGGGGCGGGGGGUUGGGGGGUGCGCGGGGGGCGCGCGGGGGGGGGGCGCGGGGGUCAGCUGGCCUUGACUUUGGGGUAACUUCGGGGAACUGGGGCUAAUACCGGCUCGGCGCUCCUGCUGCGUGGUGGGUGCUGGAACGUUUCGGCGGUUGGGGAUGGCCUCGCGGCUUAUCAGCUUGUUGGUGGGGUAGUGGCUUACCAAGGCUUUGACGGGUAGCCGGCCUGAGAGGGUGACCGGCCACAUUGGGACUGAGAUACGGCCCAGACUCCUACGGGAGGCAGCAGUGGGGAAUAUUGCACAAUGGGCGGAAGCCUGAUGCAGCAACGCCGCGUGCGGGAUGACGGCCUUCGGGUUGUAAACCGCUUUCGCCUGUGACGAAGCGUGAGUGACGGUAAUGGGUAAAGAAGCACCGGCUAACUACGUG
rnacentral:rRNA from 1 species